rnacentral:rRNA from 1 species
AGAGUUUGAUCAUGGCUCAGGACGAACGCUGGCGGCGCGCCUAACACAUGCAAGUCGAACGAGAGAUGAGGAGCUUGCUCUUCAGAUCGAGUGGCGAACGGGUGAGUAACGCGUGAGGAACCUGCCUCAAAGAGGGGGACAACAGUUGGAGACGACUGCUAAUACCGCGUAAGCCCACGGCUCGGCAUCGAGCAGAGGGAAAGGAGAGAUCCGCUUUGAGAUGGCCUCGCGUCCGAUUAGCUAGUUGGUGAGGUAACGGCCCACCAAGGCGACGAUCGGUAGCCGGACUGAGAGGUUGAACGGCCACAUUGGGACUGAGACACGGCCCAGACUCCUACGGAGGCA